CAGCAGUAGCCGCGGUAAUACGGAGGGGGCUAGCGUUGUUCGGAAUUACUGGGCGUAAAGCGCACGUAGGCGGCUUUGUAAGUCAGAGGUGAAAGCCCGGGGCUCAACCCCGGAAUUGCCUUUGAGACUGCAUCGCUUGAAUCCAGGAGAGGUGAGUGGAAUUCCGAGUGUAGAGGUGAAAUUCGUAGAUAUUCGGAAGAACACCAGUGGCGAAGGCGGCUCACUGGACUGGUAUUGACGCUGAGGUGCGAAAGCGUGGGGAGCAAACAGGAUUAGAGACCCCGGUAGUCCCUGUCUCUUAUAC
rnacentral:rRNA from 1 species